GAAUGGAAUGAAAGGUUUUUCGUGGGGCUCCCGCUUGCCAACAUCGAUUCCGAGCUUCACAGUUACAAUUCUGAGAAAAAAAUAGUAACGCCCAUUCCUGAACAUAGGUUGUGAUUGCGCCCUUCAGCAUAACCGCCUUAUGUCAAAUCAUAAAUCUAAUUGCGCCCCCCUACCGAGUCCAAUUGGAAAACCAUCUGUCAAAUUCGCCUCUUUGUUUUCCUUUUUGCUGGAAACAGUUUCAAUUGCGCCCUUCUGCACAAAACAGUUUUGCGGUACAUUUUCCAAAGGAAAACUAUUAGCUUUUGUGAAAAAUCAAUAUUAUGCGCUGGUAAAAUCACCUCGUCGUCCUCAGCAGCAGGAACAGCCCGCUUGGACAGGCUAGCUGUUGUCAGGAGAAGCCGAAGCCAGGCAUAUAGAAUUCCUUCUAGGAAUCGUAUUGGGCCAGAGGAUGAAGCGUCUUUGCAUAUACUUUCGUCUGUAUGGGAAGGUGUCGGAUCACCUGCGUCAGAAAUUCAGACGGGGGCAACUUUUUAAACCCCAUAGCGGCGAAGGUAUGUUACGAUUUUUAUUACUAUUUUGUUUAUUUGGUGUAGUGUGAUGAGCAGUGAACAGAAUAAAGGACUACGUUCACCGCACUAUGUGUUAUCUAGCAAGGCUAAGUGCGAUUUAUGUACCAAAGUAUUCCAUCAUAAUUCGUCGCACGAUACCAUGUUUUCUACCUCUCAGUUUAGGGUAAAUAAUGCAAGCGCCUUGAAUUAACACUCAUAGUAACUGAUGGCAAAAAAAUAAGAUACAAUUUAUUUAACAAUCUUUGACCAUAAGCUCAUAUUUCAUCAAGAGCCCUGAAUUGAAAAGAGAAUUCAAAUUAGCCCUUUUGUCAUCGUUGUUUUGUGUGGGAGGAAAUGGGCGAAAUUGCACGC